UGUUUCCUUGCCUUCUUUUCUUCUUUGGCUUGCUGGUCCGGCUCUGCGGCCGGUUCCGCUUGUUUUGUCUAGUUGGCCUGAUUAUCUCCGGCCAACGCAUCGCACACCGCCUUGGUGACGUCGGCGGUUCUUGCCUUUCCGCCGAGGUCCGGCGUGUGCAGCGAUUUGUCCGCGGUCACUUUUUCGAUGGCCCGCAUCAGCCGCGCCGCGGCGGAGGGUUCGCCGAGAUGCUCCAGCAUCAUGACGCUGGACCAGAAUGUGCCGAUCGGAUUCGCGAUCCCUUUGCCGAUGAUGUCGAAGGCCGAGCCAUGGAUCGGCUCCCACAACG
rnacentral:misc_RNA from 1 species